AUAGAGCACUUACCUUGUGCUAGGAAGCAUGAUAAAUGAUCUAUAUGCAUAAAACACGGAUUUCACAUGACAACUUCAACUGGUGAAAGAAAGAUUUAAAGAGUCCAAAUAACUUGUGUAUGAUCAUUCCACUGAAAAGUGGCUGACUGGCACUUCCACUAGCUGCAGUGUGCUCUGGAGCCUCUGUUCUCAAUCACUAUUCUAUUAUUACACAAAACUGACUGUUAUGGAAAUGUGGCCAUCUUCUCCAGGCAUCAUGGAGCAUUCUGUACAACAUACCAGAUACAAAUUUCUCAAGAAGUCCAAAGAAGACUGAUUUUGCUCCAGCAUUAAUACAAACUACUUCUGUGGUCGAGUACCAGAUAAAAGCUGUGGUUGUACCAAAGAAUACUAGC